rnacentral:misc_RNA from 1 species
AUUGAUCCUGACAACUGGUUUCCAGAUAUAUUUAGGUUCAUCAAUGUCGUCGAAGUAAAAAAUGUAGAUGGAAUCAGUCCACCGAGUUUAUUGGUACUGAGAUCAAGUUUAACCAGUCUUGGCAAGGUGCCCAGUGAUGAAGGUAAGGUUCCCUCAAGAGAAUUGUUUCCGAAAUUAAGUGAAGUCAAUAGUUGAAAUUGACAGGUCAUAUUGGGAAUAUUUCCAGUUAACCUAUUUGAACUCAAAUCAAUAAUUUCCAAAUUGGCUUCCCAGCUCUCAUUAGCUGAUAUACCAUCUACG